rnacentral:rRNA from 1 species
UACGUAGGGUGCGAGCGUUAAUCGGAAUUACUGGGCGUAAAGCGUGCGCAGGCGGUUCGUUGUGUCGGCGGUGAAAGCCCCGGCUCAACCGGGGAACUGCACGGGAAACUAGCAGGCUUGAAUUCGGGAGAGGGAUGCGGAAUUCCAGGUGUAGCGGUGAAAUGCGUAGAGAUGUGGAGGAACACCGAUGGCGAAGGCAGCCUUCUGGGCCAACACUGACGCUCAUGCACGAAAGCGUGGGGAGCAAACAGG